GACGAACGCUGGCGGCGUGCCUAAUACAUGCAAGUCGAACGCAGUGGGGACGGGUGAGUAACACGUGGGUAACCUCCCAUCAGAGUGGAUAACACUUGGAAACAGGUGCUAAACCGAUACUGAUGGAUGGCCCCGCGGUGCAUUGGCUAGUUGGUGAGGUAACGGCUCACCAAGGCCACGCUGCAUAGGGGACCUGAGAAGGUGGUCAGCUACACUAGGACUGAGACAGGGACCGGACUCCCAGGGGAGGCAGCAGUAGGGAAUCUUCGGAAAUGGACGAAAGUAUGACCGAGCAACCCAGCGUGCGUGAAGAAGGUUUGAGGAUGGUAAAACUCUGUUGUUAGAGAAGCGCUAUCUAAACAGAACGCCACGGCUAAAUACGUGCCAGCAGCCGCGGUAAUUC
rnacentral:rRNA from 1 species